CUCGACCCGACAGCACAGCGCGUUUCGGCUCCACAGUGCGCUCCCUCCUGAGAUCCGGUCCGUUACGCCGCAGCGGAGUCACAGCCGGACCGGCCUUCACGCGCUUGGCGGGCCACUUGUGCUAUCCUUGGCCCUUCGAGUCACUCGUCACCACAGAGGCAGAGGCAAGGAGAAAGUUGAAGGGGCUCAGCAUCCCGCUGGCGUCAGCAUGGUGGAAAUACCGGGUGGAGGGCUGCACCCACCAGCGAAUCCAGCAGCGCUGCCACGACUUGGCCGACGGAGCAAGUGGUCCGAAGUUGAACUUGGAGGAGACUCGCAGACAGCGAUUAUCCUGCAUUCAAUUAGCGACAGGUUGACGUUUUUCGCAGGCGAAAAUGUCAAUAUUACAAAGUAAUUUCUGAUAUUAAAAAAAUAAAAAAAGAAAUGACACCAUUUAUCCUGCUACAAAUUAAGACAAAAAAACCUUACUUGUGCAAAGUCUGGAUAAAGUUAAUAUAAAACGGUUUUGUCCACACUG